rnacentral:lncRNA from 1 species
UGGACUAUGGUAGACAAUGAUAAGGGGCAAUAAAGUACAAUAACUUCAUAGGAAGGUGUGGUAGUUGAUGGCAAGGUGCGACAAAUGGUGGCAAGGCAUGAAAGUUUGAUAGCAAGGUGUGACAAAUGACGGUAAGGCAUGAAAGUUCAAUAGAUAGGUAUGGCAAUUGGUGACAAGGUACGGCAGUUUGGCAGUAGUGUGC